rnacentral:rRNA from 1 species
UACAGAGGGGGCAAGCGUUAUUCGGAAUUAUUGGGCGUAAAGCGCACGUAGGCGGCUUUCUAAGUCAGGGGUGAAAUCCUGGAGCUCAACUCCAGAACUGCCUUUGAUACUGGAGAGCUUGAGUCCGGGAGAGGUGAGUGGAACUCCGAGUGUAGAGGUGAAAUUCGUAGAUAUUCGGAAGAACACCAGUGGCGAAGGCGGCUCACUGGCCCGGUACUGACGCUGAGGUGCGAAAGCGUGGGGAGCAAACAGG